rnacentral:rRNA from 1 species
UGGGGAAUUUUGCGCAAUGGGCGAAAGCCUGACGCAGCAACGCCGCGUGAGGGACGAAGGCCUUCGGGUUGUAAACCUCUUUUAAUCGGGGAGAACCUCCCUUUUGCAAAUAGUGAGAGGGCCUGACGGUACCGAUAGAAUAAGCCACGGCUAACUCUGUGCCAGCAGCCGCGGUAAUACGUAGGCAGCGAGCGUUGUUCGGAGUUACUGGGCGUAAAGGGUGUGUAGGCGGUUGCUUAAGUUUGGUGUGAAAUCUCCCGGCUCAACUGGGAGGGUGCGCCGAAUACUGAGUGACUAGAGUGCGGGAGAGGAUAGUGGAAUUCCUGGUGUAGCGGUGAAAUGCGUAGAUAUCAGGAGGAACACCGGUGGUGUAGACGGCUAUCUGGACCGUAACUGACGCUGAGACACGAGAGCGUGGGUAGCAAACAGGAUUAGAUACCCUGGUAGUCCACGCCCUAAACGAUGCAUAUUUGGUGUGGGUCAUUCAGUUGAUCCGUGCCGGAGCUAACGCGUUAAAUAUGCCGCCUGGGGAGUACAGUCGCAAGGCUG